ACCCGCUGAACUUAAGCAUAUCAAUAAGCGGAGGAAAAGAAACCAACAGGGAUUGCCCCAGUAACGGCGAGUGAAGCGGCAAGAGCUCAAAUUUGAAAUCUGGCCUCCCCCGGGGGCCCGAGUUGUAAUUUGCAGAGGAUGCUUCGGGUGCGGCCGCCGUCUAAGUUCCUUGGAACAGGACGUCAGAGAGGGUGAGAAUCCCGUCUUGGGCGGGCGGUCCGCGCCCGUGUGAAGCUCCUUCGACGAGUCGAGUUGUUUGGGAAUGCAGCUCUAAGCGGGUGGUAAAUUUCAUCUAAAGCUAAAUAUUGGCCGGAGACCGAUAGCGCACAAGUAGAGUGAUCGAAAGGUUAAAAGCACCUUGAAAAGGGAGUUAAACAGCACGUGAAAUUGUUGAAAGGGAAGCGCUUGCGGCCAGAUUCGGGGGCGGGGUUCAGCGGGUGCUCGUCGCCCGUGUAUUCCUCGUCUCCCGGGCCAGCAUCAGUUUCGACGGCCGGUCAAAGGCCCCCGGAAUGUGUCGUCUCUCGGGACGUCUUAUAGCUCGGGGGUGCAAUGCGGCCCGUCGGGACUGAGGAACGCG
rnacentral:rRNA from 1 species